rnacentral:misc_RNA from 1 species
GAGGAGCCCAUCGAGCAGUAACGGUGGUGGGAUCAGCGAGACCUCGAUCACCUUUCCAUUGGAGAACAAAGGCCAAGGCGGCAAGAGAAAGAGGGAGGAGAGUGAGGAGGAGGAUAAGCUUCGAGGUGAAGGAUUGGUUAGAGGAAGAAGAGGAGGAGGAUGGGCGGAGAGGAGUGUGGAGGAGCCCAUCGAGCAGUAACGGUGGUG